rnacentral:miRNA from 1 species
UUCCUAAUGUCUCCCAUUCCUA